ACACUUACCUGGCAGGGGAGAUACCACAAUCACGAAGGUGGUUUUCCCAAGGCGAGGCUUAUCCAUUGCACUCCAGAGGUGCUGAAAACAAAACAAACAAAC
rnacentral:snRNA from 1 species